GCACCGCUAGCUCAAUGGAUAGAGCAUCAGCCUACGAAGCUGAGGGUUGCAGGUUCGACUCCUGCGCGGUGCG
rnacentral:tRNA from 1 species